rnacentral:rRNA from 1 species
AUACAGAGGGUGCGAGCGUUAAUCGGAAUUACUGGGCGUAAAGCGCGCGUAGGCGGCUUAUUAAGUCAGAUGUGAAAUCCCCGGGCUCAACCUGGGAACUGCAUCUGAUACUGGUAAGCUAGAGUUUGGGAGAGGGAAGUAGAAUUUCAGGUGUAGCGGUGAAAUGCAUAGAGAUCUGAAGGAAUACCAGUGGCGAAGGCGACUUCCUGGCCUAAAACUGACGCUGAGGUGCGAAAGCGUGGGUAGCAAACGGGAUUAGAUACCCUAGUAGUCC